CCUACGGGUGGCAGCAGUGGGGGAUAUUGCACAAUGGGGGAAACCCUGAUGCAGCGACGCCGCGUGGAGGAAGAAGGUUUUCGGAUUGUAAACUCCUGUCGUUAGGGACGAUAAUGACGGUACCUAACAAGAAAGCACCGGCUAACUACGUGCCAGCAGCCGCGGUAAAACGUAGGGUGCAAGCGUUGUCCGGAAUUACUGGGUGUAAAGGGAGCGCAGGCGGACCGGCAAGUUGGAAGUGAAAACUAUGGGCUCAACCCAUAAAUUGCUUUCAAAACUGCUGGCCUUGAGUAGUGCAGAGGUAGGUGGAAUUCCCGGUGUAGCGGUGGAAUGCGUAGAUAUCGGGAGGAACACCAGUGGCGAAGGCGACCUACUGGGCACCAACUGACGCUGAGGCUCGAAAGCAUGGGUAGCAAACAGGAUUAGAUACCCUGGUAGUC
rnacentral:rRNA from 1 species